CUGGGAAGUUUUAGGCUCUCCAAAGAGCAGAAGCAUAUUCCUGCAUGCUCUGCGGAGGGUGAUGGGCCCUUAGGGAGGCUCCACAGGGACUGUGGACAUCACGCAUCCAGCAUCAAGGGUUCCAAGGAGACACACAGCAGAUCUGGCAUCCCACCCCGACCAUAGGAGAAACCGAGGCAGAGAAUGAGAAAUGUAACCCACCUGCAUUGGAAUCUCCUCCGUCUACCAGGGCACCUCCUGGGCGAUUGUCAUGUACACCCCAAACUAAGAUCUACUUAGUAGAAUUAGACAGACGUCAUUUCAAGUGCGCACGGAUCAGGGAGGCCUCGAGUUACAAAGAAGAUCCAGGAGGAUCACCUCCGACUCCCCGUCUCUGGGAGGCCCCACCUCCUACUAUUUUCAAUUUCCAUUAUCCUGAAACUUCUCUAAUGAUUUAGAAACUGAUCCUUCAGAACCAGGCAUUCUCUGUUCUCAUUCUCUUGGCCCAAGGGUUGCUGGAAUGUGCAUGCAUGCAUGUGUGUGUGUGUAGGUGAGCGUGUGUGCAUGCAACAUGUGUGCAUGUGUGUAGCACGUGAAAGCCUUGGAGCAGGAGAGGAGGAGGGCAUCUGCCCUUCAAGGUCUUUAAGAUGAGGAUCUGAGUUGCUCCGCUUUAUUUUGCCUGUGGAUCUGGAAGCUCCGUAACGCCUUGAAAGCAAGUCUGAUGAGCUCACAAGCUAGAACAAUUCCCAGAGAGGACUUACUUUCUGCCCUAGUGUUUACAACCUAAGUGGCUUGUCUGAGCUUUCAUGAGC